rnacentral:lncRNA from 1 species
CAGCCUCCCAAGUAGCUGCCACCAUGCAGUCUCUAAUUUAAAUUUUAAACAAACCCUAGAUGUUAUUAUUAUCUUAGAGUAGGCUGCUUCUAAAAUAGCUCCCAAUGAUCCUCUUGCUGGUCUUUACAUCCUUGUGUAAUCUCCUUGAGUGUGGGCUGGACCUAAUGACUUACUUCUAACUCACAGGAUGUGGCAACAGUGAUGGGAUGUCACAUCUGUGAUUGGAUUACGAAAGACUGUGCCUUCUGUUUUGCUAUUACUGUCUCUGGUGAGUCCUCUCUCUUGCUCUUGCUUGCUUGCACUGAUGAAGUAAGCUGCCACGUUGUGAGAUGCUCAACGAAGAGGCCCAUGAGGCAGGGCACCGAGGGAGGCUUCUGGCCAACAGCUCCUGGGGAACCAAGGCCUUAGGAAGUGAGUCCUGCCAACAAUAACGAGAGCCUUGAACUUUGAAACCACAGUACCUUGUUCCAGCGUGGAAAGCAGCGUGGCACUUCCCGGUGGUGAAAGCACCCCAGCUUGAAAGGGUGAAAACACCUUCUCCCAGAUAGUCUCCCUUUGUUUAGCCAGUGCUUUUGCCUUAAGGAAAUCAAAUGAAGGUAUGCUCCUUGGUUGGCUGCUGAAUCUGUCCUUCCUUGUCAGCUUUGCCCAGAGCAGCAGGCUUUGAGCUCUGGGAGGAUUUCCAGGUGGCAGCAGAACAACGGUCCCAUAGGCUGGAGCCUGGCACGCUUUCCCUUUUAACCAGUGGCAGAGGCUGCACUUUGCUGGUGUAAUUAUGCAACCUAGUGUAAAGUCCACAUGGGUGGGGAUAGGGGGUAGGCAAGGCAGGACUGUAAGCUGGCUCAGCACUCUGAUUGGGUUUUUUGACUGUUUUUCUAGCUUUUCUUACCCUUUUCUCUCC